rnacentral:rRNA from 1 species
CACGAACGCUGGCGGCAGGCUUAACACAUGCAAGUCGAACGCGCCCUUCGGGGCGAGUGGCAGACGGGUGAGUAACGCGUGGGAACCUACCUUUUGGUACGGAAUAACUCAGGGAAACUUGAGCUAAUACCGUAUGUGCCCUGACUUUUAAUCGGGUCUGGGGAAAGAUUUAUCGCCAAAGGAUGGGCCCGCGUCGGAUUAGCUAGUUGGUGGGGUAAUGGCCUACCAAGGCGACGAUCCGUAGCUGGUCUGAGAGGAUGAUCAGCCACACUGGGACUGAGACACGGCCCAGACUCCUACGGGAGGCAGCAGUGGGGAAUAUUGGACAAUGGGGGCAACCCUGAUCCAGCCAUGCCGCGUGAGUGAUGAAGGCCUUAGGGUUGUAAAGCUCUUUCGCCGGUGAAGAUAAUGACGGUAACCGGAGAAGAAGCCCCGGCUAACUUCGUGCCAGCCGCCGCGGUAAGAC